ACCUGGGUGGCUCAGUUGGUUGAACGCCUGACUUUGGCUCAGGUCAUGAUCUCACAGUUUGUGGGUUCAAGCCCCACACCGGGCU
rnacentral:tRNA from 1 species